rnacentral:rRNA from 1 species
CCUACGGGAGACAGCAGUGGGGAAUAUUGGGCAAUGGGCGCAAGCCUGACCCAGCAACGCCGCGUGAAGGAAGAAGGCCCUCGGGUUGUAAACUUCUUUUCUGAGGGACGAAGCACGUGACGGUACCUCAUGAAUAAGCCACGGCUAACUACGUGCCAGCAGCCGCGGUAAUACGUAGGUGGCAAGCGUUAUCCGGAUUUAUUGGGUGUAAAGGGCGUGUAGGCGGGAAAGCAAGUCAGAUGUGAAAACUAAGGGCUCAACCCUGAGCCUGCAUUUGAAACUGUAGUUCUUGAGUGCUGGAGAGGCAAGCGGAAUUCCGUGUGUAGCGGUGAAAUGCGUAGAUAUACGGAGGAACACCAGUGGCGAAGGCGGAUUGCUGGACAGUAACUGACGCUGAGGCGCGAAAGCGUGGGGAGCAAACAGGAUUAGAUACCCCAGUAGUC